AUACGUAGGUGACAAGCGUUAUCCGGAUUUACUGGGCGUAAAGGGCGUGUAGGCGGGAGUGCAAGUCAGAUGUGAAAUACAUGGGCUCAACCCAUGGGCUGCAUUUGAAACUGCAUUUCUUGAGUGAAGUAGAGGUAAGCGGAAUUCCUGGUGUAGCGGUGAAAUGCGUAGAUAUCAGGAGGAACACCAGAGGCGAAGGCGGCUUACUGGACUGUAACUGACGUUGAGGCUCGAAGGCGUGGGGAGCAAACAGGAUUAGAUACCCUGGUAGUCCACGCCGUAAACGGUGGAUACUAGGUGUAGGAGGUAUCGACCCCUUCUGUGCCGGAGUUAACACAAUAAGUAUCCCACCUGGGGAGUACGGCCGCAAGGUUGAAACUCAAAUGAAUUGACGGGG
rnacentral:rRNA from 1 species